rnacentral:misc_RNA from 1 species
GGCCGCCACCUGAAACAAGAAUAUUCAUCCUUCUUAUUCAACAUUCUAAUGGAAAAAUAAGUAACGAUCACAGGGAUGAUACAUAGUCACAUACUUAACACGUGACACUUGCCGGAGAUUUACCGUUUAGUACUCAAAAGAAAUUACGCCACUAUAGGUCACGAGGCUCUGCAAUAUGUGUAUAGCCUAGGCGUAUUAUAAACCUUGCGCAACUUAAGUGUGCAGGUACGUCGUACGUAGAUAGUAUAGUAUUCGAGAAUUAUUAAGCUGCUCAUCGUUAAGAAGUUACUCGUUAUGCUCGGUUUGCUUCGAAGGCUAACAAAACCUCCGAUCUCUCACCUGGAUCUUCUUCUCCAGACCAAACAGGUACCACGAUCUGCAAUACCGACGGAACUUUCGAACACUAAAUACGAUUGCCAAAGAAUGAGUUCACUGGUUUUAUCAUUGGAGUCGGUUUCAUUUGUAUUUAUUUACACAAAUUAUUCGUUAUCCAAAACGGCGUAAGGGAAUGAGAAAUUAAAUGGCACUACAACAUUGUACAGGUCAUACCUCUGUUACACAGGAGUUUGCUCUACAAAUUAUAGGGUUUACCGGCUCGAUGGUACAAUGAUCUUGAAUAUCCUCGCUGUGGAAUCAUCUGAUGUGCUCAAAAUUUUCGUGCCGUCUCUGUGAAUGAAUGAUCAUGCAUUUUUUUUAAAUAAUUAUCGGUAACAGGCUGAAAUUCAAUUUUGAAACAAUUACCUAGAGAUACAAAGGUCCAGAAUAUCGGCGGAAUGUCCCAUCAAAGAGCCCAAUUGUUUUCCUAAUUUAGCAUCGAACGAUCUAAUCACUCCGUCUAAGCCGGAGGUAUAGAAAAUUGACGUAUUUUGGCACCACACCAAUUUGCUAAUUCCACUAUCCUGAUCAAUGGCGUGUCGUAGUACCUUGGAUAAGAAUAAAUUCAUCAAGUACCAUUCGAAUUUAAUUUUUUUUUCUACGCACUAUACGAAAUACCUGUUUUGAUGUAUCCCAAAUAAAAAUUUGUCCAUUGACUGUCCCUGUAGCGGCUACCUGGUAUUCGGAAUUUUUGCAAAAUGCGAUGGUUUCUACCCAAUUCCCCAUUGGUUUGGCAGUAUCGUGUGCUUCGACAUUAGUUGAGGACUCCACUUCUGUGGCUAUAUUCGCAUCUUUCAGUUCCUGAAGGACUCCGAUAAUCU